GUAGCAAUACUUAGUGGCAGACGGGUGAGUAACAUGUAGGUAUCUACCCUAUGGCCUGGAAUAACACGAGGAAACUUGUGCUAAUACCGGAUAAGUCUUUACGGAGAAAGCUUUAUGCACCAUUGGAUGAGCCUGCACUUGAUUAGUUUGUUGGUGGGGUAAUGGCCUACCAAGACUUUGAUCAAUAGCUGAUUUGAGAGGAUGAUCAGCCACAUUGGGACUGAGACACGGCCCAAACUCCUACGGGAGGCAGCAGUGGGGAAUCUUGCACAAUGGAGGAAACUCUGAUGCAGCGAUGCCGCGUGAGUGAAGAAGGCCCUUGGGUUGUAAAGCUCUUUCGUCGGGGAAGAAAAUGACUGUACCCGAAUAAGAAGGUCCGGCUAA
rnacentral:rRNA from 1 species